GACGAACGCUGGCGGCGUGCUUAACACAUGCAAGUCGUACGGUAAGGCCCUUUCGGGGGUCCACGAAUGGCGGACGGGUGCGUAACACUUGAGUAACCUGCCCCCAACUUUGGGAUAACGCUAGGUAACUGGAGCCAAUGCUAGAUCUGUGCUCCUUCUGCAAGGUGGGGGUUCGAUAGCUCCGGCGGUUGUGGAUGUGCUUGCUGGCUAUCUGCUUGUUGGUGGGGCAGUGGCUUACCAAGGCGGCGACGGGUAGCCGGCCUGGGAGGCUGACCCGCCACAUUGGGACCGAGGGACGGCAGCGGCACCGACGGGUGGGAGCAGUGGGGAAUAUUGCACAAGCGGCGCCAGCCGGAUGCAGCAAGGCCGCGUGCGGGAUGACGGCCUUCGGGUGGUAAACCGAUUGCAGCAGGGACGAAGCAUUUUGUGACGGUACCUGCAGAAGAAGCACCGGCUAACUACGUG
rnacentral:rRNA from 1 species